rnacentral:lncRNA from 1 species
CUUUGUGAGCUGCUAGUCUCUCUACCACACUAUCCUUAAGCCUCACCUCCCAGGAACUCUCUCUAGACCCCUUGAUAUCCAGAACAAGGGAGGCUGAGCCAUCCUCUUCCCAACUCACGCCCCAUUUUCUCUCUUGUCCUGGUGAACGAUCUCCCCUGUGGAUGCUACUCUUUCCCAUGGAAGGUGGGCCUUGCCAGCUUCCGUGGGAUAACUGUAUAAAGAUUCAACAGUUGGAGAGAUCACAGUUAACCAGAACAGAGAGAGGCACCUGGAUGUCAAUAAGGUACUCAAUCUAUCUGCUUUAAAAUGCAGGAAACAAAUAUCUGUUGAUUGAGUGACAGGAGGAAGCGCAGCCCCUGCCCUCAAGGGGAGGGAGGUCAAUGUGGGGUGGGGACAGUGGGAAAGCAACUGGUCUUUUGAGAUUUAUUUGCCAGGUUCUUGACACACAGGAUUUUAUUUAAUCCUUUUAAUCCUAGGAAGGAUCAUUAACUCUUGUUAUAGAUGAAGUAACAUUAAUUUCAGGUUACAAACCCUGUCUAACUAAAGGUAUAUUAUAGGCUGAGUUGUAUAUAUUGCAUUAUAGGCCAAAAUUUAUAUAACGAAGAUGUAACCCCCAGUACCUCAGAACUGUGACUGUAUUUGGAGAUUGGGUCUUAAAGAGGUAAUUCAGGUUGAAUGAAGUCAUUAGGAUGGACUCUAAUGCAAUAUGACUCCUGUCCUUAUAAGAAGAGGAAACUUACACACAGACACAAAAAGAGGAAGACCAUGUGAAGACAUAGGGAGAAGACAGCCACCUACAAGCCAAGAAGAGAGGCCUCAGGAGAAACCAACCCCACAGACAACUUGAUCCUGGAGUUCCAGCCUCCAGAACUGUAAGGAAAUAAGUUUCUGUUGUUUAAGCUACCCAGCCUGUGGUAUUUUGUUAUGGCAGCCUUAGCAGAUGAAUACAAGGUACAAUGGAGAUUCAUCACCAGGUAAAACUAAUUCCAAAGCCCUGGCUGGCCCUCUCUCUGUAUCAUGGAAAAGAUCAGCCAGUGAUAUGGGAGGCAGCC